rnacentral:misc_RNA from 1 species
GUGAAUCAUCGAAUUUUUGAACGCAAAUUGCACUUUCUGGUAUUCCGGAGAGUAUGCCUGUUUGAGGGUCAGUUAAAUUAAAAUCGGUGUUGUUGCUACCUGUAGGGGUGUGUGAUGCAUCGGAAGGGGGUCGUUCUUUCCGUUGGGUUAAGUGGAUUUAAAUUUGUUUUUAUUUUUGGAAUU